AUUGAACGCUGGCGGCAGGCCUAACACAUGCAAGUCGAACGGUAACAGGAAACAGCUUGCUGUUUCGCUGACGAGUGGCGGACGGGUGAGUAAUGUCUGGGAAACUGCCUGAUGGAGGGGGAUAACUACUGGAGACGGUAGCUAAUACCGCAUAACGUCGCAAGACCAAAGAGGGGGACCCUCGGGCCUCUUGCCAUCGGAUGUGCCCAGAUGGGAUUAGCUUGUUGGUGGGGUAACGGCUCACCAAGGCGACGAUCCCUAGCUGGUCUGAGAGGAUGACCAGCCACACUGGAACUGAGACACGGUCCAGACUCCUACGGGAGGCAGCAGUGGGGAAUAUUGCACAAUGGGCGCAAGCCUGAUGCAGCCAUGCCGCGUGUAUGAAGAAGGCCUUCGGGUUGUAAAGUACUUUCAGCGGGGAGGAAGGGAGUAAAGUUAAUACCUUUGCUCAUUGACGUUACCCGCAGAAGAAGCACCGGCUAACUCCGUGCCAGCAGCCGCGGUAAUACGGAGGGUGCAAGCGUUAAUCGGAAUUACUGGGCGUAAAGCGCACGCAGGCGGUUUGUUAAGUCAGAUGUGAAAUCCCCGGGCUCAACCUGGGAACUGCAUCUGAUACUGGCAAGCUUGAGUCUCGUAGAGGGGGGUAGAAUUCCAGGUGUAGCGGUGAAAUGCGUAGAGAUCUGGAGGAAUACCGGUGGCGAAGGCGGCCCCCUGGACGAAGACUGACGCUCAGGUGCGAAAGCGUGGGGAGCAAACAGGAUUAGAUACCCUGGUAGUCCACGCCGUAAACGAUGUCGACUUGGAGGUUGUGCCCUUGAGGCGUGGCUUCCGGAGCUAACGCGUUAAGUCGACCGCCUGGGGAGUACGGCCGCAAGGUUAAAACUCAAAUGAAUUGACGGGGGCCCGCACAAGCGGUGGAGCAUGUGGUUUAAUUCGAUGCAACGCGAAGAACCUUACCUGGUCUUGACAUCCACGGAAGUUUUCAGAGAUGAGAAUGUGCCUUCGGGAACCGUGAGACAGGUGCUGCAUGGCUGUCGUCAGCUCGUGUUGUGAAAUGUUGGGUUAAGUCCCGCAACGAGCGCAACCCUUAUCCUUUGUUGCCAGCGGUCCGGCCGGGAACUCAAAGGAGACUGCCAGUGAUAAACUGGAGGAAGGUGGGGAUGACGUCAAGUCAUCAUGGCCCUUACGACCAGGGCUACACACGUGCUACAAUGGCGCAUACAAAGAGAAGCGACCUCGCGAGAGCAAGCGGAACUCAUAAAGUGCGUCGUAGUCCGGAUUGGAGUCUGCAACUCGACUCCAUGAAGUCGGAAUCGCUAGUAAUCGUGGAUCAGAAUGCCACGGUGAAUACGUUCCCGGGCCU
rnacentral:rRNA from 1 species